GGCGGAGCUUAAGAUGGACGCGACCACGUGAUCCACACCAUCUUUGAUUUGGGCGCGAUGCCCAAUAGAAGGAAGUGGAGCGGCUCCUGGCUCGCCAACGAGUAGGUAAGCUCGUGGUGUCGGCGAGACUGCCUGUCGGGUACGGCUGCGGCACCCGGCGGGUCGGGAGCCGCAACAGUAUGCGAAAGUUUAGGCUCCAGUGAUCACCGGUCAGUGUGGUUUAAUAUAAGAACAGU